rfam:Streptomyces sp. CB03234 scaffold1, whole genome shotgun sequence.
CGAGCCGGGCGGACGGCCGCGUGGAGACCCUUCGGGGGUCUUCCCGAGGAACGUCCGGGCUCCACAGGGCAGGGUGGUGGCUAACGGCCACCCGGGGUGACCCGCGGGACAGUGCCACAGAAAGCAGACCGCCGGGGACCUCGGUCCUCGGUAAGGGUGAAACGGUGGUGUAAGAGACCACCAGUGCCCAGGGUGACCUGGGCAGCUAGGUAAACCCCACCCGGAGCAAGGUCAAGAGGGGACACCUCGGUGUCCCUGCGCGGACGCAUGAGGGCUGCCCGCCCGAGUCCGCGGGUAGACCGCACGAGGCCGGCGGCAACGCCGGUCCUAGAUGGAUGGCCGUCGCCCCGACGACCGCGAGGUCCCGGGGCACAGAACCCGGCGUACAGCCCGACUCGUCUG